UGCACUAAUCUGCCAAAAUAGCCUAUAUUAAUGAUAUUCUUAUAAAAAAUAUAAUUAUUUAAAUAUUUAAUCCUUUCGUACUAAAAUAUUUUAAUGAUUUAAAGAUAGAAACCAACCUGGCUUACGCCGGUUUGAACUCAGAUCAUGUAAGAAUUUAAAAGUCGAACAGACUUAAAAUUUGAACGGCUACACCCAAAAUUAUAUCUUAAUCCAACAUCGAGGUCGCAAUCUUUUUUAUCGAUAUGAACUCUCCAAAAAAAUUACGCUGUUAUCCCUAAAGUAACUUAAAUUUUUAAUCAUUAUUAAUGGAUCAAUUAUUCAUAAAUUAAUGGUUUUUAAAAUUAAAAGUUUUUUAAAUUUUAAUAUCACCCCAAUAAAAUAUUUAUUUUUAUUAAAAUUAAAUUAAUCUUUUUUAUUAAAAUAAAAAUAAAUAUAAAGAUUUAUAGGGUCUUCUCGUCUUUUAAAAAUAUUUUAGCUUUUUGACUAAAAAAUAAAAUUCUAUAAAAAAUUAAAAUGAAACAGUUAAUAUUUCGUCCAACCAUUCAUUUC
rnacentral:rRNA from 1 species